UGGGGAAUCUUCCGCAAUGGACGAAAGUCUGACGGAGCAACGCCGCGUGAGUGAAGAAGGUUUUCGGAUCGUAAAACUCUGUCUUUUGGGGCGAACGUGAGUAUGGUGAACAAUCAUAGUCAGUGACGGUACCAAAGGAGGAAGCCACGGCUAACUACGUGCCAGCAGCCGCGGUAAUACGUAGGUGGCAAGCGUUGUCCGGAAUUAUUGGGCGUAAAGAGCGCGUAGGCGGGAUAGUCAGUCUGUUGUAAAGUGCGGGGCUCAACCCCGUGAUGGCAAUGGAAACAGCUAUUCUUGAGUGCAGGAGAGGAAAGUGGAAUUCCCAGUGUAGCGGUGAAAUGCGUAGAUAUUGGGAGGAACACCAGUGGCGAAGGCGACUUUCUGGACUGUGUCUGACGCUGAGGCGCGAAAGCCAGGGGAGCGAACGGGAUUAGAUACCCCGGUAGUCCUGGCCGUAAACGAUGGGUACUAGGUGUGGGAGGUAUCGACCCCUUCCGUGCCGGAGUUAACGCAAUAAGUACCCCGCCUGGGGAGUACGGUCGCAAGACUGAAACUCAAAUGAAUUGACGGGGUCAUAGCUGUUUCC
rnacentral:rRNA from 1 species